GACGUAGGGCGCGAGCGUUGUCCGGAUUUAUUGGGCGUAAAGAGCUCGUAGGCGGCUUGUUGCGUCAGCUGUGAAAACCCGCAGCUCAACUGUGGGCUUGCAGCUGAUACGGGCAGGCUUGAGUUCGGUAGGGGAGACUGGAAUUCCUGGUGUAGCGGUGAAAUGCGCAGAUAUCAGGAGGAACACCGGUGGCGAAGGCGGUUCUCUGGGCCUGUACUGACGCUGAGGAACGAAAGCGUGGGGAGCGAACAGG
rnacentral:rRNA from 1 species